AAUCAACGCUGGCGGCGUGCCUAACACAUGCAAGUCGAACGCGAAAGGGGCUUCGGUCCUGAGUAGAGUGGCGAACGGGUGAGUAACACGUGGGUGAUCUACCUUCGAGUGGGGGAUAACGUCCCGAAAGGGACGCUAAUACCGCAUGACGUUCCGGGUUUAAAGACCUGGAAACCACAGCCGGGGACCGCAAGGCCGGGCGCUGGAAGAGGAGCCCGCGUCCGAUUAGCUAGUUGGCGGGGUAAUGGCCCACCAAGGCGACGAUCCGUAGCUGGUCUGAGAGGAUGAUCAGCCACACUGGAACUGAGACACGGUCCAGACUCCUACGGGAGGCAGCAGUGGGGAAUUUUGGACAAUGGGCGCAAGCCUGAUCCAGCCAUGCCGCGUGAGUGAAGAAGGCCUUCGGGUUGUAAAGCUCUUUCGGCGGGAACGAAAUGGUUCGUGCUAAUACCACGGAUUGAUGACGGUACCCGAAGAAGAAGCACCGGCUAACUACGUGCCAGCAGCCGCGGUAA
rnacentral:rRNA from 1 species